ensembl:snoRNA small nucleolar RNA SNORD50
GAUCUAAGAUGAUUGUAUCCCAAACCUGAAUUCCUGUUGAAAAACCAAAAUUACGGAUCUGGCUUCUGAGAC